UCUUUGUUAGCUUAGUGGGUAGAUCGCUCCACUGGAAAUGGAGAAAUCGUUGGUUCGAUACGAAGGC
rnacentral:tRNA from 1 species